rnacentral:lncRNA from 1 species
UUUAAUCGAGACGGUCGAUUCGUCGAAAGGCUACAUCGAUCAUGUAGUCGCGAAGCGGCGUUUCAAUGGCAAGAAACUAAAUCAGAAGUCGCGCUAGUGUGUUCAGAAUUAAAUGGUGCGACAGAAACGACUUUUUUCCAGACGGUGAUUUAUAAUUAUCUAGAAACCUUUAGUGCAUCCACAGAUGUGUAAUGUGAACAUACGAACAAAUAACUUCGACUUUGUCCGCGGAUUUGUCACGGCGAAAUGAAGGACUCUGAACAUCUCUGCGAAAAGAAUUAGAUUAACUUACGGCCUUAUCACCGCAACCCCUUUGGACAUCAUUAUGACAAAGCAGCCGCCUCAAUUUCUGUGCCAAGAAGCGCGAUGACUGCCAGAAAUUCUUGGAGACAACGAC